rnacentral:rRNA from 1 species
UACGGAGGGUGCAAGCGUUGUCCGGAUUUAUUGGGUUUAAAGGGUGCGUAGGCGGCUUAUUAAGUCAGGGGUGAAAGACGGUGGCUCAACCAUCGCAGUGCCUUUGAUACUGAUGAGCUUGAAUACACUUGAGGUAGGCGGAAUGAGACAAGUAGCGGUGAAAUGCAUAGAUACGUCACAGAACACCAAUUGCGAAGGCAGCUUACUAUGGUGUCAUUGACGCUGAGGCACGAAAGCGUGGGGAUCAAACAGG